UUAAGAUAUUUCACUUAAUGCAAGCUGAAAAACUAAGUACAUAUUUUUAUUGUUGCCAAAUACUAAUCCUUAAGGGGUUCUAGCAGGAUUAUUCAUGAAAGUGAGAACGCAAAGUGAUUUUCAAAUUUACAUUCAGAGUAGCCAAAGCGAAAGCAUAGCUAGCUAAAAUCAUUUUUUUCCAGUUCAGUUAUUUUGACUUUCCAUUUUAAAUGAAUUUUGAAUUCUCACUUUAGUGAUGUUAGACACCAGCUCACACAGUGAAAUGAUUU